GCUUUAUUGUUCUCAUCUUUUUUAAAGUUUAUCAAUACAUUUUUUGUUUUAUUUGUAUCCCGUGCUGCUCUCCUUCAAGCAUAUUGUUCUAGCCCUAUUAGGCACCCUCCUGCACAUCAUAUAGAGCCUUGGACGGCUCUGCAUCCUGUGAGUUCCAUCCUAAAUAGGGGUUUAUUAUAUAUACACACAGUUUGCACUUUGUUUUUAUAUUUUUGUUUACUAGAUUGAUCCUGCUAUUUGUAUUUCGCUGACUGGUGCAGUAUUUGUUUUAAUUUUCCAUUGUCUAUUUUUAAAGUGUUGUGGGAUACACUUUCACUACACCAGUCAUUUUGUAUUCUGCAAUUUGGUAGCACCUACACACCUUUAUAUCUUUAUAUGAUAUAUUAUGAUUGAUGUAUAUUUUGCAGUAAAUUACGAUGCAUGCAUCCAGUUACGGCUUGCAUGUUACCAUGUUGUUUCUAUUUUACAGCUUAACUUCGAGGUCACGUUGGUGAUUCUGUACUGAAUUCCUGUUGUGGAUUUGUUUUAUCCAUGGUUCUGGAUGUUCUGUUUCUCU